rnacentral:RNase_P_RNA from 1 species
AGGAGCCCGUGGACAGCUGACGGUGGCCCGACGGGGCCGCUGAGGAAAGUCCUCGCUCCGACACGCACGCGGCCCGGCGCAAGCCGGGUGGCCGAGAGGUCAGGCAACCGCACCGAAACGACACCGCCCCGGCAGAGGAUGAUCGGCUUGUGGCCGUGACGGUCCCGGCGGAUCGGGUGGAACGGCGAGUCCCCGCGGGAGCAAGUCCCUUGCGGACGCGUAGUCCAAUGCUGUCAGAACAGAACGAGGCUUACGGCGGGCACCU